rnacentral:lncRNA from 1 species
UGUCCCUCGUUCUCUGGAGAUAAGAAUGCUAAUUGGACUACUGAUGUCUAGCAUCUAAUCAUAAAUAAGUUCUGGACUAAAUAAGUAUUUCUGCCACCACUGAAGGAGAGGAGACAAGACAUACAAAUACCAGUUUCUGUCUGAAUGAGAAGCUUAAUUCCAGGCUGUUCAAACAGGUCUUGUUCCCAGACUUACCUGAAUAUAUAACCAGUGAAGAUCUCUCAUUUAAUAAAGCUUCCCUCCCCCACAAUUCUGAUUCUCGACAAUUGAGAUUUAAGAGGCACAAAUGGAAGCGCACAAAUCACAAAACUUACCCAGAUUCCUGAAUUCAAACUUGGGUCCAUAACUCAGGCCUUAAAGAUAUUUUAUAGUCUCUCAACUUUUAUCUGUUUAUGAGCAUCAUAACACAAGAUUAAACUUUUGUAGUUAAUUCUCACUGUAGUAAAGUGUCUCAUCUCUACACUUGACAGUUUCUGGCUCUGAUUUCAUUCUCUAUUAAGUUCAUUGAUGAAAGGAGCAGAAAAAGAACAAUUUGUGAGACUGUCUUUACAUUUAUUGACAUAAAUUGUUCAGUAGAUUUUACUCAAUAACAAUUUCCAAUUUUCCUGUUUUCUUCAUCCAUUUACAGUCCAUAAUGUUACAGACAAUUGACAGCAUGUUUCUUUGCACAUAAAACUAAGAGCAAAGAUGCACAUUCUCAAAAAACAUAUUAAACCCAGGCAGCUUGGUUUGAUUUAUAUGUAUAUGUAAAAGCAUCUUCCAUUU